ensembl:lncRNA
UUACAAUGAUGGAAAGUAUGAUGGCAGAGAUGAAGUGCCCACCUACUUUCUUCUUUUAAAAAAAAUCAAAACCCAAAGUGUUUUUUACACUUUGGCACCAGACGUAAAUGCUACAGGACAAACAUUGAGCUCUCAAGCAGAGGAGAUGGGAAGACCUCCAGGUUUGUUUGGAAGCAGCUGGAAGAAAUAGGUCCACCUGGAGAAUCGAUUUCAAACAUCGAGUCUUUCUGUAAUGGAACGUUUUUAAUGGGGAAGGCCGGAAUGCGAAGAGAAUCCAGCACUCUGUGGGAAAAGUCAAUAAGACCAGCAGACCUACAAAGACAGAAGACACUAAAAAAGGUGGGAUUAGUAAAUGUAAAUUAACAGUAAACUUGAAGAAAGAUGAACUAACUUGAAUCUAGUGUUGGACAGCAUUGGGGGACGGCGUGAGACAAUGGGCUCGACGUCCUCCAGGCCGAGGCUGCGUAGAGUAGCUCCAAGCAACAGCCGGCAAGACGACGAGCCCCAAGCCGAACCGCGAUGGACGCUCCCCGCUCUGCCCGUCACGCCGGAGCAGCCAGCAGGACUUUUGGGACAGAGGAAGACGACGUUACCGCCACAGAGACAAGACAUGACCAUUUCCACCCCCUCCGGGCAGGGAUUGCAGAGGUGGGGGUGUCCACCUGUUUUCUACUAUCGUCCAGACAGGAGACUCUUGCUCGGAAAGAACGAUUCAGGGAGGACUCCUGGAGGCCCUGAAUCAACCGACGUGCCAUAGAGCAAAGACAUAAAGUGAUCUUCUCAGUUGGUGGUUUACCCUGUCGCGCACAAAUACUGAAGACCACCAGAGGCGGAGACCCACACGAGGGACAUCUUCUGGGACAACACCAAGGGAGAAAGUUUGGACCCCAAAAGUUCUGCCUCAACCCUUUGAACAGAGACGGUCCAACCAGCCGAGCAAACAGCACGAGUGUUGUGGGGAUCAGAUCAAGGUCUUCAAGAAACAAGAGAGGAAAGACGGUCUUCAGACAAAACACUUGACAGGGACAACUGAAAGGGAAGUAGUGAGAAAAGAAGACCGGGGUACACUUGGUUUUGGUGCCGGUCUGAGCGGCUGUCAGACAGCGUUAUUAAAAUAUUAAAAUGUGUUAAAGG